AUCAUCCUUUGUGUUAACUUUGAUCCUAUCUAGCUACUGGUUGUUGUUUCAUUUCUGUCUUUAGUUGUGCAAGUAUCAUAAUCUGAUCCCUGUUUUUAGUUCUAUAUAUAUAUAAAAAAAAGUGUGUCAACAAAGAAAGAAAAGAAAGUACAAAAAAAAGUGAAGUGAAAAAAAUUUGAGAAAGGUUCAGAGAGAAAGUCUGAAAGAUUAGUUGGUUUAUGUGCAUAAGUGCUGAAAGUUUCAUAUCAAGUU
rnacentral:lncRNA from 1 species